GACGAACGCUGGCGGCGUGCUUAACACAUGCAAGUCGAACGGAAAGGCCCUUCUUUUGUGGGUUGCUCGAGUGGCGAACGUGUGAGUAACACGUGAGUAACCUGCCCUUGACUUUGGGAUAACUUCAGGAAACUGGGGCUAAUACCGGAUAGGAUCUCCUGCUGCAUGUUGGGGGUUGGAAAGUUUCGGCGGUUGGGGAUGGACUCGCGGCUUAUCAGCUUGUUGGUGGGGUAGUGGCUUACCAAGGGUUUGACGGGUAGCCAGCCUGAGAGGGUGACCGGCCACAUUGGGACUGAGAUACGGCCCAGACUACAACGGGAGGCAGCAGUGGGGAAUAUUGCACAAUGGGCGGAAGCCUGAUGCAGAAACGCAGCGUGCGGGAUGACGGCCUUCGGGUUGUAAACCGCUUUCGCCUGUGACGAAGAGUGAGUGACGGUAAUGGGUAAAGAAGCACCGGCUAACUACGUG
rnacentral:rRNA from 1 species